rnacentral:ncRNA from 1 species
CCGUCACAACGGCUUCCUGGCGUGACGGGGUUGUCUUAAUGGAGCG